GACGAACGCUGGCGGCGUGCUUAACACAUGCAAGUCGAACGGAAAGGCCCUGCUUUUGUGGGGUGCUCGAGUGGCGAACGGGUGAGUAACAAGUGAGUAACCUGCCCUUGCCUCUGGGAUAACUUCAGGAAACUGGGGCUAAUACCUGAUAGGAGCUCCUGCUGCAUGGUGGGGGUUGGAAAGUUUCGGCGGUUGGGGAUGGACUCGCGGCUUAUCAGCUUGUUGGUGGGGUAGUGGCUUACCAAGGCUUUGACGGGUAGCCGGCCUGAGAGGGUGACCGGCCACAGUGGGACUGGGAUACGGCCCAGACUCCUACGGGAGGCAGCAGUGGGGGAUAGUGCACAAUGGGCGGAAGCCGGAUGCAGCAACUCCGCGUGCGGGAUGACGGCCUUCGGGUUGUAAACCGCUUUCGCCUGUGACGAAGAGUGAGUGACGGUAAUGGGUAAAGAAGCACCGGCUAACUACGUG
rnacentral:rRNA from 1 species